rnacentral:rRNA from 1 species
AUUGAACGCUGGCGGCAUGCCUUACACAUGCAAGUCGAACGGCAGCACGGGAGCAAUCCUGGUGGCGAGUGGCGAACGGGUGAGUAAUAUAUCGGAACGUGCCCAGUCGUGGGGGAUAACGCAGCGAAAGCUGUGCUAAUACCGCAUACGAUCUACGGAUGAAAGCGGGGGAUCGCAAGACCUCGCGCGAUUGGAGCGGCCGAUAUCAGAUUAGCUAGUUGGUGGGGUAAAGGCUCACCAAGGCGACGAUCUGUAGCUGGUCUGAGAGGACGACCAGCCACACGGGAACUGAGACACGGUCCAGACUCCUACGGGAGGCAGCAGUGGGGAAUUUUGGACAAUGGGCGCAAGCCUGAUCCAGCAAUGCCGCGUGCAGGAUGAAGGCCUUCGGGUUGUAAACUGCUUUUGUACGGAGCGAAACGGUCUUUCCUAAUACGAGAGGCUAAUGACGGUACCGUAAGAAUAAGCACCGGCUAACUACGUGCCAGCCGCCGCCGUAA